rnacentral:rRNA from 1 species
GACUCCAUGAAGCUGGAUUCGCUAGUAAUCGCGCAUCAGCCACGGCGCGGUGAAUACGUUCCCGGGCCUUGUACACACCGCCCGUCAAGCCAUGGAAGCCGGGGGGUGCCUGAAGUGCGCUGCCGCGAGGAGCGCCCUAGGGUAAAACCGGUGACUGGGGCUAAGUCGUAACAAGGUAUC